rnacentral:rRNA from 1 species
CGGGUGAGUAAUGCCUAGGAAUCUACCUGGUAGUGGGGGACAACGUUUCGAAAGGAACGCUAAUACCGCAUACGUCCUACGGAGAAAGCAGGGACCUUCGGGCCUUGCGCUAUCAGAUGAGCCUAGGUCGGAUUAGCUAGUUGGUGAGGUAAUGGCUCACCAAGGCGACGAUCCGUAACUGGUCUGAGAGGAUGAUCAGUCACAAUGGAACUGAGACACGGUCCAGACUCCUACGGGAGGCAGCAGGC